GCUUGUCUCAAAGAUUAAGCCAUGCAUGUGUAAGUAUCAGAAGUCUGAACUUCAAAACUGCGAAUGGCUCAUUAUAUCAGUUAUAGUUUAUUUGAUGGUUCAUACUACUUGGAUAACCGUAGUAAUUCUAGAGCUAAUACAUGCGUCAAAACCCAACUUCUGGGAGGGUUGUAUUUAUUAGAUGGAAACCAAUGCGGGGCAACCCGGUAUAUGGUGAUUCAUAAUAACUUUCGGAUCGAUCUUCGGAUCGAUGCAUCAUUCAAGUUUCUGCCCUAUCAGCUUUGGAUGGUAGGGUAUUGGCCUACCAUGGCUUUAACGGGUAACGGAGAAUUAGGGUUCGAUUCCGGAGAGGGAGCCUGAGAAAUGGCUACCACAUCCAAGGAAGGCAGCAGG
rnacentral:rRNA from 1 species